rnacentral:rRNA from 1 species
CAGCAGCCGCGGGAAUACAGAGGAUGCAAGCGUUAUCCGGAAUGAUUGGGCGUAAAGGGCUCGCAGGCGGUUUCUUAAGUCUGAUGUGAAAGCCCCCGGCUCAACCGGGGAGGGUCAUUGGAAACUGGGAAACUUGAGUGCAGAAGAGGAGAGUGGAAUUCCACGUGUAGCGGUGAAAUGCGCAGAGAUGUGGAGGAACACCAGUGGCGAAGGCGACUCUCUGGUCUGUAACUGACGCUGAGGAGCGAAAGCGUGGGGAGCGAACAGGAUUAGAUACCCCUGUAGUCCCUGUCUCUUAUAC